rnacentral:rRNA from 1 species
GACGAACGCUGGCGGCGUGCUUAACACAUGCAAGUCGAACGGGCCCGCUCUCUUUUUUGGGGGUGGGUUGAGUGGCGAACGGGUGAGUAUCACGUGAGUAACCUGCCCCCUGCUCCUGGACAACUGCUUGAAAGGGCGGCUAAUACGGGGUGUGCCGGCUGGUCCGCAUGGGCCUGGUCGGGAUAGUUUCAUCUUCGGGUGUUUCGGUGGGGGAUGGGCUCGCGGCCUAUCAGCUUGUUGGUGGGGUGAUGGCCCACCAAGGCGGUGACGGGUAGCCGGCCUGAGAGGGUGGGCGGCCACACUGGGACUGAGACACGGCCCAGACUCCUGCGGGAGGCAGCAGUGGGGGGUAUUGCACAAUGGGCGGAAGCCUGAUGCAGCGACGUCGCGUGAGGGAUGGAGGCCUUCGGGUUGUGAACCUCUUUCUCCGGUGGUGAAGGCCCUGUCCGUUGCGGCGGGGUUGACGGUAGCCGGGUAUGAAGCGCCGGCUAACUACGU